AGAUCUGUGACUCAGGGCUCGGGUUUCAGCCCUGGCCCGUCUCAGGCCUGUGUUGUGUUCUCUCUGACACUCAGAUUCUGAGAGUUGAAUACAGGGUCUUCCGUGGAGAGCUUCUCGGUGUGGAUUCUCAUCAUCAUUAGAGGCAAACUAACCAACAGAGGCUCACAGCUGAAAGGCUGAGCUUUUUGAACAAGCCCUUCUCCACUCCCUCCAGAGUUCGCAGGCAAUGCAUCCUUUACUUUUGAAGUUUUGCUGGAUGGAUCAAAUAGGUUGGUGUUAUGCUACAUUUCUUAAGAAUAGGUCAGAGCACCAUCUGUUUCUUUUCCUCUGGCUUCACACCUCAGUAUGUUAGGGUCCUGGGACAUCAUGACAGAGAACUCUCACCCAAUGGUCCACCACCAACCUGCUGGUGGCUGCAGGAAUUAUGGAGAGAGUGCUUGAGAGAAGUCACGGGGAUGGAUGAGAUUGCCCAGGGAGAAAAAGUGUGAAGCAAGCUGCUGUGAAGAUCGAAUCUGCCUUCUUCUGAAAGCAGCACCAACCUGAGUGAUUUCAUCCAGAAUAAUAAAUAAUAAUUUCCUUUCA